rnacentral:rRNA from 1 species
GAUGAACGCUGGCGGCGUGCCUAAUACAUGCAAGUCGAGCGAACGGACGAGAAGCUUGCUUCUCUGAUGUUAGCGGCGGACGGGUGAGUAACACGUGGAUAACCUACCUAUAAGACUGGGAUAACUUCGGGAAACCGGAGCUAAUACCGGAUAAUAUUUUGAACCGCAUGGUUCAAAAGUAAAAGACGGUCUUGCUGUCACUUAUAGAUGGAUCCGCGCUGCAUUAGCUAGUUGGUAAGGUAACGGCUUACCAAGGCAACGAUGCAUAGCCGACCUGAGAGGGUGAUCGGCCACACUGGAACUGAGACACGGUCCAGACUCCUACGGGAGGCAGCAGUAGGGAAUCUUCCGCAAUGGGCGAAAGCCUGACGGAGCAACGCCGCGUGAGUGAUGAAGGUCUUCGGAUCGUAGAACUCUGUUAUUAGGGAAGAACAUAUGUGUAAGUAACUGUGCACAUCUUGACGGUACCUAAUCAGAAAGCCACGGCUAACUACGUGCCAGCAGCCGCGGUAAUACGUAGGUGGCAAGCGUUAUCCGGAAUUAUUGGGCGUAAAGCGCGCGUAGGCGGUUUUUUAAGUCUGAUGUGAAAGCCCACGGCUCAACCGUGGAGGGUCAUUGGAAACUGGAAAACUUGAGUGCAGAAGAGGAAAGUGGAAUUCCAUGUGUAGCGGUGAAAUGCGCAGAGAUAUGGAGGAACACCAGUGGCGAAGGCGACUUUCUGGUCUGUAACUGACGCUGAUGUGCGAAAGCGUGGGGAUCAAACAGGAUUAGAUACCCUGGUAGUCCACGCCGUAAACGAUGAGUGCUAAGUGUUAGGGGGUUUCCGCCCCUUAGUGCUGCAGCUAACGCAUUAAGCACUCCGCCUGGGGAGUACGACCGCAAGGUUGAAACUCAAAGGAAUUGACGGGGACCCGCACAAGCGGUGGAGCAUGUGGUUUAAUUCGAAGCAACGCGAAGAACCUUACCAAAUCUUGACAUCCUUUGACAACUCUAGAGAUAGAGCCUUCCCCUUCGGGGGACAAAGUGACAGGUGGUGCAUGGUUGUCGUCAGCUCGUGUCGUGAGAUGUUGGGUUAAGUCCCGCAACGAGCGCAACCCUUAAGCUUAGUUGCCAUCAUUAAGUUGGGCACUCUAAGUUGACUGCCGGUGACAAACCGGAGGAAGGUGGGGAUGACGUCAAAUCAUCAUGCCCCUUAUGAUUUGGGCUACACACGUGCUACAAUGGACAAUACAAAGGGCAGCGAAACCGCGAGGUCAAGCAAAUCCCAUAAAGUUGUUCUCAGUUCGGAUUGUAGUCUGCAACUCGACUACAUGAAGCUGGAAUCGCUAGUAAUCGUAGAUCAGCAUGCUACGGUGAAUACGUUCCCGGGUCU